rnacentral:rRNA from 1 species
GACGAACGCUGGCGGCGUGCUUAACACAUGCAAGUCGAACGGAAAGGCCCUGCUUUUGUGGGGUGCUCGAGUGGCGAACGGGUGAGUAACACGUGAGUAACCUGCCCUUGACUUUGGGAUAACUUCAGGAAACUUGGGCUAAUACCGGAUAGGAGCUCCUGCUGCAUGGUGGGGGUUGGAAAGUUUCGGCGGUUGGGGAUGGACUCGCGGCUUAUCAGCUUGUUGGUGGGGUAGUGGCUUACCAAGGCUUUGACGGGUAGCCGGCCUGAGAGGGUGACCGGCCACAUUGGGACUGAGAUACGGCCCAGACUCCUACGGGAGGCAGCAGUGGGGAAUAUUGCACAAUGGGCGGAAGCCUGAUGCAGCAACGCAGCGUGCGGGAUGACGGCCUUCGGGUUGUAAACCGCUUUCGCCUGUGACGAAGCGUGAGUGACGGUAAUGGGUAAAGAAGCACCGGCUAACUACGUG